CGCGUAGGCGGUUUCGGAAGUUAUGGGUGAAAGCCCCCGGCUCAACUGGGGAAUUGCCUGUAAAACCACGGAUCUGGAGUGCUGGAGAGGGAAGUGGGAAUUCCCAGUGUAGCGGUGAAAUGCGUAGAUAUUGGGAGGAACACCAGUGGCGAAGGCGGCUUCCUGGACAGACACUGACGCUGAGGCGCGAAAGCCAGGGGAGCGAACG
rnacentral:rRNA from 1 species